UAAGACUGGGAUAACUCCGGGAAACCGGGGCUAAUACCGGAUGGUUGUUUGAACCGCAUGGUUCAAACAUAAAAGGUGGCUUCGGCUACCACUUACAGAUGGACCCGCGGCGCAUUAGCUAGUUGGUGAGGUAACGGCUCACCAAGGCAACGAUGCGUAGCCGACCUGAGAGGGUGAUCGGCCACACUGGGACUGAGACACGGCCCAGACUCCUACGGGAGGCAGCAGUAGGGAAUCUUCCGCAAUGGACGAAAGUCUGACGGAGCAACGCCGCGUGAGUGAUGAAGGUUUUCGGAUCGUAAAGCUCUGUUGUUAGGGAAGAACAAGUACCGUUCGAAUAGGGCGGUACCUUGACGGUACCUAACCAGAAAGCCACGGCUAACUACGUGCCAGCAGCCGCGGUAAUACGUAGGUGGCAAGCGUUGUCCGGAAUUAUUGGGCGUAAAGGGCUCGCAGGCGGUUUCUUAAGUCUGAUGUGAAAGCCCCCGGCUCAACCGGGGAGGGUCAUUGGAAACUGGGGAACUUGAGUGCAGAAGAGGAGAGUGGAAUUCCACGUGUAGCGGUGAAAUGCGUAGAGAUGUGGAGGAACACCAGUGGC
rnacentral:rRNA from 1 species